GGNUUUUNNUUAAANGNUANCUUUUUUCAGNCAGUGAGGAAGGUGGGUAUGUUAAUAGCAUUUUCAUUUGACGUUAGCUGCAGAAGAAGCACCGGCUAACUCCGUGCCAGCAGCCGCGGUAAUACGGAGGGUGCGAGCGUUAAUCGGAAUUACUGGGCGUAAAGCGCAUGCAGGUGGUUUGUUAAGUCAGAUGUGAAAGCCCGGGGCUCAACCUCGGAAUUGCAUUUGAAACUGGCAAACUAGAGUACUGUAGAGGGGGGUAGAAUUUCAGGUGUAGCGGUGAAAUGCGUAGAGAUCUGAAGGAAUACCGGUGGCGAAGGCGGCCCCCUGGACAGAUACUGACACUCAGAUGCGAAAGCGUGGGGAGCAAACAGGAUUAGAUACCCUGGUAGUCCACGCCGUAAACGAUGUCUACUUGGAGGUUGUGGCCUUGAGCCGUGGCUUUCGGAGCUAACGCGUUAAGUAGACCGCCUGGGGAGUACGGUCGCAAGAUUAAAACUCAAAUGAAUUGACGGGGGCCCGCACAAGCGGUGGAGCAUGUGGUUUAAUUCGAUGCAACGCGAAGAACCUUACCUACUCUUGACAUCUACAGAAGCCAGCGGAGACGCAGGUGUGCCUUCGGGAACUGUAAGACAGGUGCUGCAUGGCUGUCGUCAGCUCGUGUUGUGAAAUGUUGGGUUAAGUCCCGCAACGAGCGCAACCCUUAUCCUUGUUUGCCAGCACUUCGGGUGGGAACUCCAGGGAGACUGCCGGUGAUAAACCGGAGGAAGGUGGGGACGACGUCAAGUCAUCAUGGCCCUUACGAGUAGGGCUACACACGUGCUACAAUGGCGCAUACAGAGGGCGGCCAACUUGCGAAAGUGAGCGAAUCCCAAAAAGUGCGUCGUAGUCCGGAUUGGAGUCUGCAACUCGACUCCAUGAAGUCGGAAUCGCUAGUAAUCGUGGAUCAGAAUGCCACGGUGAAUACGUUCCCGGGCCUUGUACACACCGCCCGUCACACCAUGGGAGUGGGCUGCAAAAGAAGUGGGUAGUUUAACCUUCGGGAGGACGCUCACCACUUUGUGGUUCAUGACUGGGGUGAAGUCGUAACAAGGUAACCG
rnacentral:rRNA from 1 species